UACGGAGGGGGCUAGCGUUGUUCGGAAUUAUUGGGCGUAAAGAGCUCGUAGGCGGUCUGUCGCGUCUGGUGUGAAAUCCCAUGGCUCAACUGUGGGCUGGCAUCGGGUACGGGCAGGCUAGAGUGCUGUAGGGGAGACUGGAAUUCCCGGUGUAGCAGUGAAAUGCGUAGAUAUCGGGAGGAAUACCGAUGGCGAAGGCAGGUCUCUGGGCUGACACUGACGCUCAUGCACGAAAGCGUGGGGAGCAAACAGG
rnacentral:rRNA from 1 species